rnacentral:lncRNA from 10 species
GUGGGAACGGCCCACCGCAGGGUUGGCCACCUUGAGAAGCUGCGAAGAUGGCGGAGUAAGGCGUGCCGCUGCAAACUGGCCUCUGGGCCGGGGGCGAGCAGCCCCCGGGAGGCCGAGUGCAUCUGUUGGACCGUGCGAGGAGAAGAAAAAAAAUAUCGGCCAGAGGAGAGGAACUAACCGAACAUUCUUCCUCCCUACCUUAUAGAGGGGAGUGGUCAUCUACACUAAAGCAAAGUGUUAGGCGCGUCCGUGCGAAGAGACCA